rnacentral:rRNA from 1 species
AGCGAACGCUGGCGGCAGGCCUAACACAUGCAAGUCGAACGAACCUUUCGGGGUUCGUGGCGGACGGGUGAGUAACACGUGGGAACGUGCCUUUAGGUUCGGAAUAACUCAGGGAAACUUGUGCUAAUACCGAAUGUGCCCUUCGGGGGAAAGAUUGAUCGCCGUUAGAGGGGCCCGCGUCUGAUUAGCUAGUGGGUUGAGGUAAUGGCCCACCAAGGCGACGAUCAGUAGCUGGUCGGAGAGGAUGAUCAGCCACUUGGGGACUGAGACACGGCCCAAACUCCUGCGGGAGGCAGCAGUGGGGAAUCUUGCGCAAUGGGCGAAAGCCUGACGCAGCCAUGCCGCGUGAAUGAUGAAGGUCUGAGGAUUGUAAAAUUCUUUCACCGGGGACGAUAAUGACGGUACCCGGAGAAGAAGCCCCGGCUAACUUCGUG